CUCUUCUUGUUAAAGCACUGUGCUAAAAUUACAGAAACCAAGGCUGAGCUUUGGUUUCUGUAAUAAUGCUAGCAGAGUACAUGCAAGAAGAAGAAAAAUCUGUGUAUGCACUGGAUCCAAAAUGACUAGGGUGGACCUCUUUCUUAAUGUCCAGUGUCCUGUGUCUUAAGAUUUGGUGCAACAGUU
rnacentral:snoRNA from 1 species